CCUUUUAAAUUUUUUUUCUUUUCAAAUAUUUUUCUUUAUUAUUAUUGUUUUGGAUGCUGAAAGAAUUUUCAUCAACAUCCUCUAUGAUCGUGCUCAUAGGCGGAGGAUCCCGAUCAUAUCUUAGGAUGAUUUUUUUGAUUUUUUCUACACGAGGGACCAAAAUACACCUUAGGACAGUCCCUCGCACACUUCCGAUCGGGUUUGAUUAAUUUAAUGU
rnacentral:lncRNA from 1 species